UACAGAGGUGGCAAGCGUUGUUCGGAAUUACUGGGCGUAAAGGGCGCGUAGGCGGCCUUCUAAGUCAGACGUGAAAUCCCCAGGCUUAACUUGGGAACUGCGUCUGAUACUGGGAGGCUUGAGUGCGGGAGAGGGAUGUGGAAUUCCAGGUGUAGCGGUGAAAUGCGUAGAUAUCUGGAGGAACACCGGUGGCGAAGGCGGCAUCCUGGACCGACACUGACGCUGAGGAGCGAAAGCAUGGGGAGCGAACAGG
rnacentral:rRNA from 1 species